rnacentral:rRNA from 1 species
UGGGGAAUAUUGCACAAUGGACGGAAGUUUGAUGCAGCGACGCCGCGUGGAGGGUGUAGGCCUUCGGGUUGUGAACUCCUUUUUCUCGCGAAAAAGGCACAGUUUUGGCUGUGUUGAUGGUAGUGGGGGAAGAAGCGCCGGCUAACUACGUGCCAGCAGCCGCGGUAAUACGUAGGGCGCGAGCGUUGUCCGGAUUUAUUGGGCGUAAAGAGCUCGUAGGUGGUUCGUCGCGUCUGUCGUGAAAGCCAGCAGCUUAACUGUUGGUCUGCGGUGGGUACGGGCGGGCUUGAGUGCGGUAGGGGUGACUGGAAUUCCUGGUGUAGCGGGGGAAUGCGCAGAUAUCAGGGGGAACACCGAUGGCGAAGGCAGGUCACUGGGCCGUUACUGACACUGAGGAGCGAAAGCGUGGGGAGCGAACAGG